rnacentral:rRNA from 1 species
CCUACGGGUGGCAGCAGUGGGGAAUAUUGCACAAUGGGCGAAAGCCUGAUGCAGCAACGCCGCGUGAGCGAUGAAGGCCUUCGGGAUGUAAAGCUCUGUCCUCAAGGAAGAUAAUGACGGUACCUGAGGAGGAAGCCCCGGCUAACUACGUGCCAGCAGCCGCGGUAAUACGUAGGGGGCUAGCGUUAUCCGGAUUUACUGGGCGUAACGGGGGCGGGGGUGGCAUCGUAAGUCUGAGGUGAAAGGCGACGGCUCAACCCUAGUAUGCCUUUGAAAAUGGGGGGCUGGAGUGCAGGAGAGGAGAGUGGAAUUCCUAGUGUAGCGGUGAAAUGCGUAGAUAUUAGGAGGAACACCAGUUGCGAAGGCGGCUCUCUGGACUGUAACUGACGCUGAGGCACGAAAGCGUGGGGAGCAAACAGGAUUAGAUACCCUUGUAGUC